rnacentral:rRNA from 1 species
AACGCGAAGAACCUUACCGGGGCUUGACAUCUGCGGAAAUCCUAUGAAAGUAGGCUUCGGGGCAACCCGACCGCAAGACAGGUGCUGCAUGGCUGUCGUCAGCUCGUGCCGUGAGGUGUUGGGUUAAGUCCCGCAACGAGCGCAACCCUUGUCGUGUGUUGGUCCACAAAGAUCUCUCACACGAGACCGCCGAUGAGAAGUCGGAGGAAGGUGGGGAUGACGUCAAGUCCGCAUGGCCCUUACGUCCCGGGCUACACACGUGCUACAAUGCGCCGGACAGCGAGCAGCGAACUCGUGAGAGGGAGCUAAUCUCUUAAACCGGCGCUCAGUUCGGAUUGAAGGCUGCAACUCGCCUUCAUGAAGUCGGAAUCGCUAGUAAACGCAGAUCAGCUACGCUGCGUUGAAUACGUUCCCGGGCCUUGUACACACCGACAUA